rnacentral:rRNA from 1 species
UACGUAGGUGGCAAGCGUUGUCCGGAUUUAUUGGGUUUAAAGGGUGCGUAGGCGGCCCUGUAAGUCAGUGCUGAAAUAUCCCGGCUUAACCGGGAGGGUGGCAUUGAUACUGCGGGCUAGAGUACAGAUGAGGUAGGCGGAAUUGACGGUGUAGCGGUGAAAUGCUUAGAUAUCGUCAAGAACACCUAUUGCGAAGGCAGCUCACUAAGCUUUAACUGACACUGAGGCACGAAAGUGUGGGGAUCAAACAGG